GCCGGGGUAGUUCCACUGUUAAAUAGCGCUCGAUGUCUAUGAGACUGUCGAAUUCGAAUUUGGCGGUCAACCAGCUGUCGGUUAGGGUUGUCACCGAAAUCGUAACCGGCAUUACAACACCUGGAAAAGACGUCUGUUUGUCCAUAUGGCUUGUAAUACUGUCUAUAGCGACGGAGUGUCUCCCAUAUUCUUCGAAUUCCCGAGUGGCGGCUUUAAUAUUCUCAUCUUCUGCUCCUGUAGAUCUACCAGUUAGUUCACCAGGGUUGAAGACAUUCUGAAAUUAAAUAAGAAACCUUAAUUACUAGCAGGCUUAUUGGUCUAGUAUUCCAGACGAAGACUCAUAAUUAGUUCCAGUUUUGUUUGGAGUCGUUUUAUUUUUAUCUUUUUUAACACUAAAAUAACGAAAAUCAAAUAUUACAUUAAAGAGAAUUGAGCUUUAAGUCUAGAUAGAACAAAAGACUCGGGAACAUAUGAACACACGACACUGGAUAAAUGUUGGUAGACCGCGUCGAGCCAAAUGGAAAGACUUAUCUUCAGCCAAGUGCAUUAGCCGUUGAAUUUUAUUAGGAGUUAAAGGAUUAUCCAUAUUUAUAAACAGAGAAAACAGUCCUCAAAUUAUUAAUUAGCGCA